AUGUGCUUUAUGAUCCGUAUUUAUACCUAUGUACAUAGACAAAUAGGCCAUUUUAUAGCCAAUCUAAGUAAAUAUAACUGCACAUGUGUAUGCACACGCACAGAAAAAUAAAUAUGUACAGAGAGGGAGGGAUUAGCCUAUAUCUGAUCUAUCAGGUGUAGGCUUGUAGCAACACUAGCUUGCACAUAUAUGUAUAUAUGCUACAAAUGUAUAACUCAUAAACUCUAAAAAAAUGCAGGUUCACAACUCAGACUACAAAGUCAUUCCAGUUCUCUCUGUUCUAACAAAUUAUGGAACACAUAAUUAUGCACAAGAAUUGCUUACGCAAGAUGAUGCAUUUAGCCUUCCAAGUACACAAGAUUCUCCAGCAAUAUCGUUUGGUAUAUAUUCUCCACGUGCACCAAUCAAAAAACUGGAGUAAGCACGUCCUAUCUAAUAUUAACUGCAACUAUUUAUUGGCAUCUGUGUUAUACAACCUGAUCAUAUUUAUCUUUUAGCGACGCGACAAACUCGCAUAUUCCCACAUGCUACGCGAUACUGAGGUGACUUUGAUACAACAACAAAUUUAGCUUCUUCGUAUUUUACGGAAUACAUAACUGUGUGAUAUUGCUGCUAAGACAGAGAUUGGAACCUAUUCUCCCUUUAUACAUGUUAAAAAAAAGCUUCCAUCAUCUGACUGUUUAUAUCAGCUUGAUCACAGGAUCAUGAACUCUGCACGUCAACAUGACAAGGACAGACUGCCCUCGCCACCCUAAGUAUGUCCUUAUGCAACAAGCAGCCCUAAAAAGGAGUAUACAAAUUAAAAAGAUAAUGGACAAUGUUUUUCAUUCAUUUUUUUAUGCAUACACAUACAAACACAAAUUUGAACUCCAACUUAAAAUUCAUACUGAUAUUGUAAAACAUGUGCAGGAUCAGGACUAGCCAACUUCGCAUACUCUAAUCUGAUUCUAUAUAAUCUGGUGACCAUGGCAGUUAUAUUAUAUCGUAAGUUGCACCGAGGUAUAUUGUUCUAUACAUCUUAACACCAAUAUAGUAUACAUAAUAUUCAUGAUAGCUGCUCUUCAACAUCACUCAAAUUCACAUAGAACACAAACAAACAAAAAUGCAAAAACUACUUUAUUCUCCCUUGUAAAUAUCAUACAACAACACCAUUUACAGUAUUGAUUAAACAUUAUAAACACAAUUGAUGUUUCCUUGUCUUCACAGGCUUGCAAAGGUCGUCCACGUUGCUAGAACGAGUUUGCUUUUGUGUAUAGAGGACCAAACUGAUAAAGGCCAUCCAAUUUCGUAUAUGUUUCUACCACCCAUAUCAGUAAGCUCUAUCUUAUGUUUAAUGGAGACUAUGUGUCUUAUCGUGUAAGUUUGCUCUACAACUAAACUGUAACGGUGAUAGUCAUCAUGGUAGACUCAUCUUAGGUUUGUACUGUGAUGUAUACUAUAAUAUUUAUCUGCUUCACAACCAAUAUUGUCACUUUAAACAGGUAUUUACCAUGCUAAUAUCCAACACAUUAAUGUUCUAUGAACAAUUCAAUGUACUAUUUACCACGCGCGCCUAUGGGCGCGCCCAAUACACUAGUGUAUUACAGAUGGAAACAGAUUCUCUGCUGGGUGCUCCUUAUCGGACAUCAAUUUCACCUCCCUUUUCGAGGGCUCCCCGCCCCCCUCCAACCCUAUCCGCCAUUUGUCCCGCAGCCAACGCGCAAGCGACCAUCUUAAAAGGCUUCGAUCUAACUUGCUCCGCCAUGGAAGAAGGAUGAUGCGCUGUGCGCUGAGCUGGUCGUCCGACAUCCGACGCGCAAGCGACCAACGACCUUUUGUUGUUGACAGUCACAAAACCCUAACGGGCAGAAAUUCCUGACUAGAGAAAGCGCGGUGAAGAUGGAUGGUAAUACCUCUGGCAAGCGGCAAGAUGAACGUGCGCACAGCAAGCGAGAACGGAGGCGCUUGACCUGAGAGCACGAAUGUCAUCGCUGUCGUGGAGUUUGACGCUGCGGUGUCUUUUUUCCAAAGGGUUCUUCGUACGAAGUCUG
rnacentral:lncRNA from 1 species